rnacentral:rRNA from 1 species
GACGAACGCUGGCGGCGUGCUUAACACAUGCAAGUCGAACGGAAAGGCCCUGCUUUUGUGGGGUGCUCGAGUGGCGAACGGGUGAGUAACACGUGAGUAACCUGCCCUUGACUUUGGGAUAACUUCAGGAAACUGGGGCUAAUACCGGAUAGGAGCUCCUGCUGCAUGGUGGGGGUUGGAAAGUUUCGGCGGUUGGGGAUGGACUCGCGGCUUAUCAGCUUGUUGGUGGGGUAGUGGCUUACCAAGGCUUUGACGGGUAGCCGGCCUGAGAGGGUGACCGGCGACAUUGGGACUGAGAUACGGCCCAGACUCCUAAGGGAGGCAGCAGUGGGGAAUAUUGCACCAUGGGCGGAAGCCUGAUGCAGCAACGCCGCGUGCGGGAUGACGGCCUUCGGGUUGUAAACCGCUUUCGCCUGUGACGAAGCGUGAGUGACGGUAAUGGGUAAAGAAGCACCGGCUAACUACGUG